rnacentral:rRNA from 1 species
CUUGAGGAGUGGCUUCCGGAGCUAACGCGUUAAGUCGACCGCCUGGGGAGUACGGCCGCAAGGUUAAAACUCAAAUGAAUUGACGGGGGCCCGCACAAGCGGUGGAGCAUGUGGUUUAAUUCGAUGCAACGCGAAGAACCUUACCUACUCUUGACAUCCACGGAAUUUGGCAGAGAUGCCUUAGUGCCUUCGGGAACCGUGAGACAGGUGCUGCAUGGCUGUCGUCAGCUCGUGUUGUGAAAUGUUGGGUUAAGUCCCGCAACGAGCGCAACCCUUAUCCUUUGUUGCCAGCGAUUCGGUCGGGAACUCAAAGGAGACUGCCGGUGAUAAACCGGAGGAAGGUGGGGAUGACGUCAAGUCAUCAUGGCCCUUACGAGUAGGGCUACACACGUGCUACAAUGGCGCAUACAAAGAGAAGCGACCUCGCGAGAGCAAGCGGACCUCACAAAGUGCGUCGUAGUCCGGAUCGGAGUCUGCAACUCGACUCCGUGAAGUCGGAAUCGCUAGUAAUCGUGGAUCAGAA